CCUACGGGAGGCAGCAGUGGGGAAUCUUGGGCAAUGGGCGAAAGCCUGACCCAGCGACGCCGCGUGGGGGAAGAAGGCCUUCGGGUCGUAAACCCCUGUCAGGAGGGACGAAGCCCGCAAGGGUGACGGUACCUCCAGAGGAAGCCCCGGCCAACUACGUGCCAGCAGCCGCGGUAAGACGUAGGGGGCGAGCGUUGUCCGGAUUGACUGGGCGUAAAGCGCGCGUAGGCGGUCGCGCAAGUCGGGCGUGAAAGCUCGGGGCUCAACCCCGAGAGGCCGUCCGAUACUGCGCGGCUAGAGGGCGGUAGGGGGCAGUGGAAUUCCCGGUGUAGCGGUGAAAUGCGCAGAUAUCGGGAGGAACACCGGUGGCGAAGGCGGCUGCCUGGGCCGUCCCUGACGCUGAGGCGCGAAAGCUGGGGGAGCAAACAGGAUUAGAUACCCUUGUAGU
rnacentral:rRNA from 1 species